CUCCUACGGGAGGCAGCAGUAGGGAAUAUUGGGCAAUGGACGAGAGUCUGACCCAGCCAUGCCGCGUGCCGGAUGAAGGCCUUCUGGGUUGUAAACGGCUUUUCUCAGGGAAGAAAAAGACCAUGCGUGGUACACUGACGGUACCUGAGGAAUAAGCACCGGCUAACUCCGUGCCAGCAGCCGCGGUAAUACGGAGGGUGCAAGCGUUGUCCGGAUUUAUUGGGUUUAAAGGGUGCGUAGGUGGCUUGUUAAGUCCGGGGUGAAAGCCCACAGCUCAACUGUGGAACUGCCCUGGAUACUGGCAAGCUUGAGUCCAGACGAGGUUGGCGGAAUGGAAGGUGUAGCGGUGAAAUGCAUAGAUACCUUCCAGAACCCCGAUUGCGUAGGCAGCUGACUAGGCUGGUACUGACACUGAGGCACGAAAGCGUGGGGAGCGAACAGGAUUAGAUACCCUGGUAGUC
rnacentral:rRNA from 1 species